rnacentral:lncRNA from 1 species
GGAUUUGCAUGCUUCACUUUUUCUGAUAUCAGUUGCCUCCUAACUCUUUGGAGCUUGAUUUUCAAGGCUUAAAAAAGUUAUUUUAUCACUUAUUUUUAUAUAUAUAUAUCCUCUAGAGGAUAUUGAAAUCUUGAGAAUCUGAAGACAUUAUUGACAAAGUAUAAAAAAAGAGAGAGAGAAACAAUAGUAAAUACUCACCAGAAAAUUUGGAUAAGCAAAACUUGAAAAGAGAUGGAAAGUAAAAUUUAUUGUUGAACGAGAGAGAAGACCAAUUUUUAUAAGUGAGAAUUGGUUUAGUUAAUGUUGGUGGGUAGAAGAGGCAACAACCAAUGUAUAAAUAGGUGAUGAAAUAACUCUUUUAAACUUUGAAAAUUAAGUUCCAAAGAGCUGGGGUCAACUAAUAACGGGAAAAGUGAAGCAUGCAAAUCCAUGCACAAAAAUGGAGCAGGAAGCAUGAAAAGAAAAAUAAUUAAUUAAGUGCAAGCAUAGAGCAUUGAGCAAGAAGCAUGAAAAAUAAAAUAAUUAAUUAAAGUGAAAGCAUGGAGCAUGAAGCAAGCAUAAAAAAUAAAAUAAUUAAUUAAAGUGGGAGCAUGGAGUAAGCAUGAAAAGGAAAAUAAGUAAUUAAAGUGGAAGCAUGGAGCAUUGAGCAAGAAGCAUGAAAAGUAAAAUAAUUAAUUAAAGUGGAAACAUGGAGUAAGCAUGAAAAGUAUAAUAAUUAAUUACGGUAGAAGCAUGGAGCAGGAAGCAUGAAAAGUAAAAUAAUUAAUUAAAGAGUUUAUAGAACUAAACCAGGAAACAUGCAUUCCACUUGACUAGGGAGCAUAUAAAGUAAGCGCACGUAAAAUAUAAAUAAAAGGCAUGUAUGUUCACGUGAACAAUAAAAGACAUGCAAGUUCACGUGAAGAAUAAAAGCAUUCAUGUUCACGUGGAGCAUAUGUAAAAAGUCUGAAAAGAAAAGUCACAGGAAGCGGGAAUUAGGAUCCAAGAAGUAAGAAGCAUGACCCAAGAAAAACUUACAAAAUAAAAAGAAGCAUGGCCCUGCAGGAAACAAUAGAGCGUGGAGGAAGCAAAACGCAAUUAAGAAUCUAAGAAGAAAAAUCUAAAAGCUUCGAAAACCUACUUUGAGAAGGAGACAAAUAUAGACUCCGAAUAAAAUUCUAAUUAAGUAGAAAAAGUCGAUCAAAAUAAGGAAUUAGUAACGACUUAGGUGCUCAAAAAAAUUGUAUUAUAAAUAGAAAGUACUAGAGGUAUGGGGGGAGACGAGCAAAAAAAAAAAAAUCAGAGGCAAAUAGCAAAAGAAAAACUUCCUUGUAAUCAUUAUUGAAAGUUGGCUCUUUUGAUUCCCGUAAACGUAGGCCAAGUGCUGAACCAUGUAAAUUAUCUGUGUUUUGCUCUUCAUAUCAUCUCGUUUACUCAAUUUUCUAGUUGAUGGAAACGAAGCGUCAACAAAUACAAAGUAGAAUAAUCUAAUAAUAGUUUUAUUUUGACUAUAUGCAUGUUCGAAUACAAUUUUAUACUAACAUUUUUAAUUGCAUGUUUGCUUUCAUUGCACAUUAAUAUUAAGAUUUACGCUUCAAAAGCUAUAGAUUUGGAUAGUAAUAAUAAUAUGGGAUGACAAGAACCUUUAUAAAUUUGUCUCAUUGACUAAUAUAUCACAGGUUACAACUUUUAAAAGC